rnacentral:rRNA from 1 species
AUUGAACGCUGGCGGCAGGCCUCACACAUGCAAGUCGAGCGGAGCGGCGGACGGGCGAGUAAUGUCUGGGAAACUGCCUGAUGGGGGGGGGUAACUACUGGAAACGGUAGCUAAUAACGCAUACUAUCAGAUGCGCCUAGGACGGCGUUGCUAGUUGGUGGGGUAAAGGCCUACCAAAGCGACGAUCCGUAAUUGGUCUGAGAGGAUGAUCAGUCAAACUGGAACUGUGCCACGGUCCCGACUCUUACUGUGUGCAGCAGUGGGGAAUAUUGUACAAUGGGCGAAAUCCUGAACCAGCCUGGCCGCUUGUGUGAAGAAGGUCUUCGGAUUGUAAAGCACUUUAAGUUGGGGGGCGUUACCCACAGAAUAAGCACCGGCUAACUUCGUGCCAGCCGCCGCGGUAAUUC